CGGCAGGCCUAACACAUGCAAGUCGAGCGGAAACGACAUCAUUGAUUCUUCGGAGGAUUUGUUGGGCGUCGAGCGGCGGACGGGUGAGUAAUGCCUAGGAAAUUGCCUUGAUGUGGGGGAUAACCAUUGGAAACGAUGGCUAAUACCGCAUAAUGCCUACGGGCCAAAGAGGGGGACCUUCGGGCCUCUCGCGUCAAGAUAUGCCUAGGUGGGAUUAGCUAGUUGGUGAGGUAAUGGCUCACCAAGGCGACGAUCCCUAGCUGGUCUGAGAGGAUGAUCAGCCACACUGGAACUGAGACACGGUCCAGACUCCUACGGGAGGCAGCAGUGGGGAAUAUUGCACAAUGGGCGAAAGCCUGAUGCAGCCAUGCCGCGUGUAUGAAGAAGGCCUUCGGGUUGUAAAGUACUUUCAGUUGUGAGGAAGGGUGUGUAGUUAAUAGCUGCGCAUCUUGACGUUAGCAACAGAAGAAGCACCGGCUAACUCCGUGCCAGCAGCCGCGGUAAUACGGAGGGUGCGAGCGUUAAUCGGAAUUACUGGGCGUAAAGCGCAUGCAGGUGGUUCAUUAAGUCAGAUGUGAAAGCCCGGGGCUCAACCUCGGAACUGCAUUUGAAACUGGUGAACUAGAGUGCUGUAGAGGGGGGUAGAAUUUCAGGUGUAGCGGUGAAAUGCGUAGAGAUCUGAAGGAAUACCAGUGGCGAA
rnacentral:rRNA from 1 species